rnacentral:rRNA from 1 species
GAGAGGGUGAUCGGCCACAUUGGAACUGAGACACGGUCCAAACUCCUACGGGAGGCAGCAGGGGGGAAGAUGGCACAAUGGGCGAAAGCCUGAUGCAGCAACGGCGCGGGAGGGAGGAAGGCCGUCGGGUCGUAAAACUCGGUCCUCAAGGAAGAUAAUGACGGUACUUGAGGAGGAAGCCCCGGCUAACUACGGGCCAGCAGCCGCGGUAAUACGUAGGGGGCUAGCGUUAUCCGGAUUUACGGGGCGUAAAGGGUGCGUAGGCGGUCUUUCAAGUCAGGAGUGAAAGGCUACGGCUCAACCGUAGUAAGCUCUUGAAACUGGGAGACUUGAGUGCAGGAGAGGAGAGUGGAAUUCCUAGUGUAGCGGUGAAAUGCGUAGAUA